GCCUUCGUGGUGUAGUGGUCAGCACGCUGGGCGCGUAUUCCAGAGGUCCGUGGUUCGAGUCUUUGCGAAGGCG
rnacentral:tRNA from 1 species